UCCGGUUGAUCCUGCCAGAGGUUACUGCUAUCGAGGUUCGACUAAGCCAUGCGAGUCGAAUGUAGCAAUACAUGGCGAACUGCUCAGUAACACGUGGACAACCUGCCCUUAGGUUGGGUAUAAACCCGGGAAACUGGGUAUAAUACCCGAUAGGUCUCGAUUGCUGGAAUGCAUCGAGAUUUAAAGCUCCGGCGCCUAAGGAUGGGUCUGCGGCCUAUCAGGUAGUAGUGGGUGUAGCGUACCUACUAGCCUACGACGGGUACGGGUUGUGAGAGCAAGAGCCCGGAGAUGGAUUCUGAGACACGAAUUCCAGGCCCUACGGGGCGCAGCAGGCGCGAAAACUUUACAAUGCUGGCAACAGCGAUAAGGGAACCUCGAGUGCCAGGUUACAAAUCUGGCUGUCGAGAUGCCUAAAAAGCAUUUCAUAGCAAGGGCCGGGCAAGACCGGUGCCAGCCGCCGCGGUAACACCGGCGGCUCGAGUGGUAACCGUUAUUAUUGGGUCUAAAGGGUCUGUAGCCGGCCGGAUAAGUCUCUUGAGAAAUCUGGCAGCUUAACUGUCAGGCUUUCAGGAGAUACUGUCUGGCUCGAGGCCGGGAGAGGUGAGAGGUACUUCAGGGGUAGGGGUGAAAAUCUUGUAAUCCUUGAAGGACCACCAGUGGCGAAGGCGUCUCACCAGAACGGACCUGACGGCAAGGGACGAAAGCUAGGGGCACGAACCGGAUUAGAUACCCGGGUAGUCCUAGCCGUAAACGAUACUCGCUAGGUGUCGGCCACGGUGCGACCGUUGUCGGUGCCGUAGGGAAGCCGUGAAGCGAGCCACCUGGGAAGUACGGCCGCAAGGCUGAAACUUAAAGGAAUUGGCGGGGGAGCACCACAACGGGUGGAGCUUGCGGUUUAAUUGGAUUCAACGCCGGAAAUCUUACCGGGACCGACAGCAAUAUGAAGGCCAGGCUGAAGACUUUGCCGGAUUAGCUGAGAGGUGGUGCAUGGCCGUCGUCAGUUCGUACUGUGAAGCAUCCUGUUAAGUCAGGUAACGAGCGAGACCCA
rnacentral:rRNA from 1 species